UCCUCAAUUUUAUCCUUCAUGCUCCUGAUUCACUCAUUCAACUAUGCUAGUGAUAGGAACUGUGGGACUCCACAUAUAUAGAUGCAAUCCCAGCAGACACUGAUAUUUGAAGCACUGUGUUCUAUAGACCUGCUUUGAGCAAGGCUUUUGAAACCUCAGUUUCCCACAGCAAGAAGUCUCAGAGGCCUUUGCUGGUGCGUUUCCAAAUCAGAUGCCUGUUGAACAAGGAAUUGCAGCAGGGGAUGCCUGUUUGCUACUCUCAGCUACUGAGGAAGAAAGAGGCUGACUCUUCGUACCUGAAAUGUGAAGCCUACCCUGGGAACCUCGAUGAGAAAGGAUAGCUCACCUCCUUUGAUGGCUAUAAGGAAUAAUAUUGAGUACAAAUGGCUUAAAGAUUCUGUAGAAGCAUGUGAGGAGGGGAAAAAGUAAUGAGAACUCAUAUGUUCCCUGAAGAAAGGUUGUACCCAUGUUUGUUUUGUGAAUGAGCUCAUGGAUUGGGAGGACCCUGGUUAUCUGAGUGUGAAAGUGGUGAGAAGUAUCCAUUACAUAGUCCAAAGGUGCUUUUCCACUAACCUAACUGGGGGUGUCAGGUACCCUGAAUAAGUGAGAGAGGAAACAUCCUUUAUCUUAGGCUAGUAUGCUUCUUCCAUAAUUCA